ACAGAAGUGGCUCCAGGAGCAUCCACAUCUGCCUCUCGGGGCCCACGGGGCCCAGGCCAGCUACAGAAGCACCCUGCUUUCCAUGGGAAAAUGCUGCAAAUGGGGGAGAAAGGAGAGAAGGGUUUCAGACUGCAAAGACCCUUCGACAUCAGCUAGCACCAAGUUCCAUCAUGUAAAUAAACUGAAGGGCUUCAGACCGGGAGUGAAGCCAAGCAGGUGAUAGAAGUGUUUGUAGGAGGAUUUUUUUGACAUAAACAUGAAAUGGAGCGAGUGGUAACGCCAUCCGUCUCCUGCCCAGACCUCCCCACUGUCACUGUCCAGCCUGAAGCCGCCCUGGUGAAGCAGGUGGAGGAGCAGCUCCAGGCCCGGCUCCCCGGCCUCCCUCCCUCAGCUCCAGGGCACUCACGUGCUUGAAACAGCUGACGGGAGCAGCCUUGUAACUGUGAUCCUUCAGGAACUUCCCCCAGUCGAAGCCCAAGACCAGAGCUGCAGAGCAGAGAGGACGAGUCAGACUAGGAGCCUGCGCAGCAGCCACUCCAGGAGCCUGGACCCCAAGGGCCCUGUGGGACCUGCAGAGGUAGGUCCCCCACCCCCAGCAGCCCCUCUCACAGCGCUGCCCACGACACCCUCCUUCACUCCCAUACCUGAUCCACCAGUGGCCAUGAGGGACCACUGUUGAGGACUGAAUUGAAAGGUGGCAAGACUCUCAGGAGUAGAGGAACAUUCAAAGGGAAAUUUCUCGCCCUUCUUCCCCCAAAGGGGAAAACUGAAAUAUCCCUGGGCUUAAAUUCCUCCCUCCGCCCUGAACCUGAUUGGCCACACCCAAUCUAAAUGUGGGGGAGGGGGUGCGCACACACCAGGGCCCCUCCAACUGAGCUCCGGCCUGCUGAGCUCAAUUUCAGUUAGAAACUCAGAACAAUGAUAGCAGAGUUGCUUUAUGCAUACAUUUAACUUGCUUAGCAAUUGCUACACACUCAGAGAGAGGCUCCUUUCCUUAUCCCACCACCCCUCUCCAAACCUGCCUUCAAACCAUAUCUGGGCCUUCGUUGCCCCAGGGAAACAGAAACCAAAAGGAUAAAAGCAAAGAGAAACAAAAACAGCCAAUUCUUGGCUUUUGAAUUAUCAUGGGUAGGAGUCCUGAUAAUUUAAGGGUGUUUGAAGGCAUUUUUCUGGGUAAUUUCCACAAUACCCAACAGGUGAGGAAGAUGCAAUCCGCAGUGACCCUGACUUAGGGCACUUUCUACCUGGCCGGUUUGCCCAGUCUUCAUUCCUAGGAAAGGCCACCCCAAACCCAGUCUCCUCCCCAGCCACGGCAGCUUCCUAAGCAGGGCCCUCUGCUAUCUUACCGUCUUGUCCUGUUGGUGUCCCAUCUGCCAGCUGUCCUGUCCCUUGAGAGUGGAGGAAGGCUCCAAUUUUGGCAGACCAGGCAGCCUUGUGCAGGACUUUGGCUUUUUUGGUCGGUGGUUUUCCCUGGAGAGGAGGACAGAGGCUAUGUGUAGCCUGGCGGCUGGGAUCAUGAGUCUGGAUUUGGGCCGCCAAGUUGAAGUCCUGGGCUUGGGCCAGUGACUUAACCUCUUUUGGGCUUCAGUUUCUUCAUGUGUGAAACAGUGAUGACAAUAACAAUCCUGAGCUCAGGGGGUGGUUGUGGGGAAGCGUCGGGGGUGCUAGGGGGUGCUAGGCAGUGCUGCAGAGCAGGGAGAGACCCAUGUUCUAUCUUUUAAGCCUUUCUGUCCUCCCAGAUUCAAGUCUCAGUCAUCUCCUUCCUCCAGUGUCGCUACUGAUAGAUCCAAAGCAAAGAAUGGGCCUCACAGGGGCCCAGAAACGCUCAUGAACUGGGAGGCAACCUUCUGUACAUACGCGAAUGUUUGGGAGAGGGUCCACAUAGGCGAAUGUUCGGGAGAGGGUCCACAUAGGCGAAUGUUCGGGAGAGGGUCCACAUAGGCGAAUGUUCGGGAGAGGGUCCACAUAGGCGAAUGUUUGGGAGAGGACCCACAGCUUUCAUUAGGUACUCAAAGGGGGUCCUCCCUUUCCAAAGGGAAUGGCCACUGAUCUGGUCUGUAUUUUGUAACUUAAGUACUGAACAGGAAGGCCAGGAAUUUACUAAAGAGAUCAGUGAAGCAGAAAUCUGGGUUUAAGUCCCAAACAAACCUACAGGGCAAAUCCCAGUUCUACAGUUUUUAGUUGUAUACCUUUAAGUAAGUUACUAAAAUUUCUGAGCCUUUAUAAAAAGGAAUUUUUUUAAAAAUCAAAUUUUUUAAGAUCGUUAAUUGGACUGAGAAUGUCAAGCCCUUAGCAAGUACUCCCAAACCAUAGCUAUUAAUAUUACCAAUAUUAUUCUUAGCUCUCGGAAGAGAGGGAUCUUUCGGUGCCUUAAGUAAAAUCUACAAAAUGGGGAAACAAUGGUAAUUGUCUCACAAAGGCGACAGUGUAUGAAGCAGUAAGCAGAAGGAUCUGGGACACAGCAAUUUCUAAUAAACAUCGGUGGUGCUCAAACUUCGCUGCACAUUAGGAUCACCUGGGAGCUCUUCCAAUCUCUGUCCAGGCUACACACCAUCCCAGUUAAAUCAGAACCUUUCGGAGUAGGACCCAAGCAUCAAUAUAUUUUACAUAAUAUUUUCCCCCCAGGCUGGAGUGCAGUGGCACGAUCUCGGCUCACUGCAACCUCCACCUCCCAAGUUCAAGCGAUUCUCCUGCCUCAGCCUCCCGAGUAACUGGGACUACAGGCGUACAACACCACGCCUGGCUAAUUUUUGUAUUUUUAGUAGAGACGGGGUUUCAUCAUGUUGGCUGGGAUGGUCUCGAUCUCCUGACCUCGUGAUCCGCCCGCCUCGGUCUCCCAAAGUGCUGGGAUUACAGGCGUGAGCCACCGUGCCCGACCAGCAUCAAUAAUUUUUAAACUUUCCAGGUGAUCCCAACAUGCAGGCAAAUUUGGGAAGCAGUGUUGCAGAUGCUGGUCCCAGCUACUGGGAAACAAGGUAAGAUGAGGCCCCUGAGAUGAGGUUCCAGCCUCAAUUCCGCCAUUCUCCUCCUACAGAGCCACACUAGGUAUGUCAUUCUACCUCCUUGGACCUCAGUAUACUUAUCAAUAAAUGUGUGGGUUCAACACCACAUCCAAGAAUCUUUCCAUCUCUAAAGAUUCUAUAAAUAUCAGUAAUUUAGAAAAUUGGCAAGACUUUCUAGGUAGCUGCCUGUGACAUGGAGUCCGAGGAGGCAUGGUCUUCCUGAAGCCACCGUGGCUGGUGAACCUUGGGCCUGUUUCCCAACUUCCUUUGAAAGGAUUUAUAAAAGUGUGGGGUGAAGACCAAGGGUGUCAGACUCCCCCAUAGUUCUUGUUUAAAAUGUACUGAAUACACCAGACUCUGGGGGAUGAUGGUAGGUAAUGGAGCGUAGCUUCAGGAACCUAUAAUUUAAAAAGCUCCACAAAUGGAUUCUACUGUCCUCUGAAGUUUGAGAACAUAAUAAAUACCAGCUGGCCACAAGCAAGGACCUUUUCAAACUUUCCUGGCCCUGGCCUUCAGUCACUUGGUGGUUCCUGUCUCAGCACCAAAGGCACCGGGAAGGAUCCAAGUGAUUGCCUCUCACCUGUAACCUAGCCAAGAUACUGGCUUUCUUGGAGUUGGAGGAGUAGCUCCUGGAGCAGGAGACGCUGCAGAACCUCUUGGUCUUGGAGAAGAAGGCUUCCCUUGUACCCACGAUACCACACAUCUCACAGACAGCUGGGAAGAGAACUUAGCACAUGACUCACCCGAUAUGACCACCUCAAAGCAAACAAAGUGAUGGGCCCUUCAAAACCUGGGGCACUGCAUUAACCAGGUGAGCCCCUGCCCCCACAAAGGCUAAUGGAAUAAGAGGAGGAAUGGGAGGUACUGGUGUGUAUAUCCUGAAUCUACCUGAAUGAAGUGCUGCUGCUUGGCCUCCCUUGGCUACAGAUGUCAACAGAGGGGCUAAUGGAAAUCCAUGAGGACGACUGGGGGAACAGGUGAGUGUUGAAAAGUUUGUCAGAGGAAAGUGAGAAGAAACUAGGCAUGGUAGCUCCUGUCUGUAAUCCCGGCAGUUUGGGAGGCCAAGGAGGGAGGAUUGCUUGAGGGCAAGAAUUUGAGACCAUCCUGGGCAACAUAGCAAGACCUUGUUGCCCAAAAAAAAAAAAAAAAGGCCAGGUGUGAUUUGGCGGGGGGAAACUGCCUGAGCCCAGGAGGCUGAGGCUGCAGUGAGCCAUGACUGCACCACUGUACCUCUAGCCUGGGCAACAAAGUAAGACACUGUCUCAAAAAAAAGCGAAAAAAUUUAUAGGAAGAAAAAGUGCCAAAGUCACUUAACCUCUGUGGCUCUAUUUUCUCAUCUAUAUAGUAAAGGGACUGAACUAGAUCAGUGUUUUAUUUAUUUAUUUUUGAGACGGAGCCUUGCUCUGUCACCCAGCCUGGAGUAGUACACUGGCGCAAUCUUGGCUCACUGCAAGCUCUGCCUCCCGGGUUCACGCCAUUCUCCUGCAUCAGCCUCCCGAGUAGCUGGGACUACAGGCACUGCCACCACACCCAGCUAAUUUUUUUGUGUUUUUAGUAGAGACGGGGUUUCACCAUGUUAGCCAGGAUGGUCUCAAUCUCCUGACCUUGUGAUCCGCCGUGUCGGCCUCCCAAAGUGUUGGGAUUACAGGCGUGA
rnacentral:lncRNA from 1 species